GACGAACGCUGGCGGCGUGCUUAACACAUGCAAGUCGAACGGAAAGGCCCUGCUUUUGUGGGGUGCUCGAGUGGCGAACGGGUGGGUAACACGUGAGUAACCUGCCCUGGACUUUGGGAUAACUUCAGGAAACUGGGGCUAAUACCGGAUAGGAGCUCCUGCGGCAGUGUGGGGGUUGGAAAGUUUCGGCGGUUGGGGAUGUACGCGGGGCGUAUCAGGUUGUUGGUGGGGUUGUGGCUUACCACGGCUUUGACGGGUAGCCGGCCUGAGAGGGUGACCGGCCACAUUGGGACUGCGAUACGGCCCAGCAUCCUACAGGAGGCAACAGUGGGGAAUAUUGCACAGUGGGCGGGCGCCUGAUGCAGCAACGCCGCGUGCGGGAUGACGGCCUUCGGGUUGUAAACCGCUUUCGCCUGUGACGAAGCGUGAGUGACGGUAAUGGGUAAAGAAGCACCGGCUAACUACGUG
rnacentral:rRNA from 1 species